UACAGAGGUGCCAAGCGUUAGGCGGAAUCACUGGGCUUAAAGCGCGGGUAGGUGGCGGCCUAAGUCCCUUGUGAAAUCCUGCGGCUCAACCGCAGAACUGCUUGGUAUACUGGGUCGCUAGAGCCAUCCAGGGGCAACUGGAACAAGCGGUGGAGCGGUGAAAUGCGUAGAUAUCGCUUGGAACGCCAAAGGUGAAAACAGGUUGCUGGGGAUGCGCUGACACUGAGACGCGAAAGCCGGGGGAGCGAACGGG
rnacentral:rRNA from 1 species